UCUCUUUCUUCCAUCUCUCUCUCUCUCACUCUUUUUCUCUUUCUACUACAUCUCUCUCUUCAUUGUCUAAUAUCAUCUCUUGGAUUUUGGAUUUACAGGUUAAUGCAAAGACAAUCAAUGGAGAAAAAGAACAAUCUUCUUGGGCUCUAUUACAACCUUUUUGACAUUUGAAUGGAGACUGUAUAAAAACACGAAAAAUGGGUAAUAAAACAACUUCAAUAAUGUUCGUGAAAUAUAAAAUCUGGUGGUAAACAAGGUUUUACCAAGUUAAUAACUUUUGUAUAUGGGAGAUUCAAUAGUUCAGCAUGAGAAGACUCAGUCAUUAUAAGCACUUGAAGAAAGACUGAUGAAGAAGUGAUGCAACUACUAUUUUUGGACAUGUUUGACAAUUCAUUUAUUUUUUAUCCACUUUGAACAAACAUAUGUGAGGAUGAAUUCUAACAUAUUUAUCACAGUGACUAAGAGAUGGUACCAUAUCAUCUUCUAUUUUGUUUUGGUUGAAUGUUUGUAUUAUUAAGAUAAGUUGUUAUGUCUCUUUUUUAUAUAUGUAUUAAACCUUGUGGUGUUCUCACUGUCAUCUUUAUUUUAAAUUUGGAUCUUA